UGCCUACGGGCGGCAGCAGUGGGGAAUAUUGGACAAUGGGCGAAAGCCUGAUCCAGCAACGCCGCGUGAGGGAUGACGGCCUUCGGGUUGUAAACCUCUUUCAGUAUCGACGAAGCGCCCUGUCGGGUGGUGACGGUAGAUACAGAAGAAGGACCGGCCAACUACGUGCCAGCAGCCGCGGUAAUACGUAGGGUCCGAGCGUUGUCCGGAAUUAUUGGGCGUAAAGGGCUCGUAGGCGGUUUGUCGCGUCGGGAGUGAAAUCUUACAGCUUAACUGUGAACUUGCUUUCGAUACGGGCAGACUUGAGGCAUUCAGGGGAGAACGGAAUUCCUGGUGUAGCGGUGAAAUGCGCAGAUAUCAGGAGGAACACCGGUGGCGAAGGCGGUUCUCUGGGAAUGUUCUGACGCUGAGGAGCGAAAGUGUGGGGAGCGAACAGGAUUAGAUACCCGAGUAGUCCA
rnacentral:rRNA from 1 species